UACGUAGGUGGCAAGCGUUAUCCGGAAUUAUUGGGCGUAAAGAGCGCGCGGGUGGUUAAUUAAGUCUGAUGUGAAAGCCCACGGCUUAACCGUGGAGGGUCAUUGGAAACUGGUUGACUUGAGUGCAGAAGAGGGAAGUGGAAUUCCAUGUGUAGCGGUGAAAUGCGUAGAGAUAUGGAGGAACACCAGUGGCGAAGGCGGCUUCCUGGUCUGCAACUGACACUGAGGCGCGAAAGCGUGGGGAGCAAACAGG
rnacentral:rRNA from 1 species